AAACUUUUUCCCUUUUUCUUCACGUAUCUUCUACAACUAAAAAGAAAGAACCCCUUUUUUUCUGAUUUUCCAUAAAAAUUGGUUCUUGAAAGGAUAAAGAUUGAAUCUUUGUUGUGUUUUAUGAAAUGGGUGUUCAGUGUCAAGAAAAUAUUUUGGUGACUGGAGGAGCUGGUUUCAUUGGAACACAUACUGUGGUGCAGUUACUGAAUGAAGGGUUCAAAGUUACAAUCAUUGAUAACUUUCAUAAUUCUGUGAAAGAAGCUGUUGAUAGAGUCAGAGAAUUAGUUGGUCCUCAACUUUCACAGAAUCUUGAAUUCCAUUUGGGUGAUAUUAGAAACAGAGAUGACUUGGAGAAGCUAUUUUCUAAGAAAGAGUUUGCUGCUGUGGUCCAUUUUGCUGGGCUUAAGGCUGUUGGAGAGAGUGUUGUUCAGCCCUUCCUUUACUUUGAGAACAAUCUGAUUGGAUCAAUAACUUUGUAUUCAGUCAUGGCCAAGUAUAAUUGUAAGAAGUUGGUUUUUUCAUCAUCUGCAACAGUUUAUGGUCAGCCUGAAAAGGUUCCCUGUGUGGAGGAUUUUGAAUUGAAGGCUAUGAAUCCUUAUGGUCGAACAAAGCUAUUUCUUGAAGAUAUUGCACGGGAUAUCCAGAAGGCUGAUCAAGAAUGGAAUAUCAUACUGUUGAGGUAUUUCAACCCGGUAGGAGCUCAUGAAAGUGGCAAACUCGGGGAAGAUCCAAAGGGCAUUCCGAACAAUCUUAUGCCUUACAUUCAGCAAGUAGCUGUUGGUAGAUUGCCGGAGUUGAAUGUAUAUGGCAACGACUACCCUACACCUGAUGGUACCGCGAUACGAGAUUAUAUCCAUGUUAUGGAUUUGGCGGACGGUCAUGUUGUUGCACUUCAGAGACUUCUAAGGCAGAAUCACAUAGGUUGUGUUGCCUACAAUUUGGGUACUGGAAAAGGCAAAUCUGUCCUAGAGAUGGUUGGUGCCUUUGAAAAGGCGUCUGGAAAGAAAAUCCCGCUUAAAAUGUGUCCAAGAAGACCAGGAGAUGCCACUGCUGUUUACGCAUCUACUGAAAAAGCUGAGAAGGAGCUCGGUUGGAAGGCAAAAUAUGGGAUAAAUGAGAUGUGCAGGGACCAGUGGAAAUGGGCAAGCCAAAAUCCUUGGGGUUACCAACCAAAGCCUUGAUAUGUUAUAAUAAUAAUAAUAAUAAUACAAGUAGCACUUGGAGUACAAAACUGUAGUCAACAUCCUAGUACUUUACAUUUCAUGCAAACAUUAGAUGUAUCCAAGGACAAAAGUGUUCAUCCAUAAUAGUUGUUGAUGGUUAUGUACUACUAAACCCUGUUGUUGUCUCCCUUAAAGGUUUUAUGGGAACUUGAAUGUUCAUCCUAUUAUGAUCCCUUCAACCAAAUCUCUUUACUGAUUGUAAUUCAUUCAAAAAGAGUAAAUGAUCUAG
rnacentral:misc_RNA from 1 species